rnacentral:rRNA from 1 species
UACGAAGGGGGCGAGCGUUGUUCGGAUUUACUGGGCGUAAAGGGCGCGCAGGCGGUUCUGUUUGUCGAGUGUGAAAGCCCCGGGCUCAACCUGGGAACUGCGCUCGAAACGGCGGAACUAGAGUUCGGGAGAGGAGAGUGGAAUUCCCAGUGUAGAGGUGAAAUUCGUAGAUAUUGGGAAGAACACCGGUGGCGAAGGCGACUUCCUGGCCUGUUCUUGACUGCUGAGGCGCGAAAGCUAGGG